rnacentral:rRNA from 1 species
GUUAAACAUAAAGAGCGUAGGGUGGAUGCCUAGGCACUGACAGCCGAAGAAAGACGUGACAAGCUGCGAAAAGCUGCGGGGAGAAGCACAUAUUCAAUGAUCCGCAGAUGUCUGAAUGGGGAAACCCACUUGGAAGAACUCCAAGUAUCUGUACGCCAAUACAUAACGUACAGAGGGGAACCCGGUGAACUGAAACAUCUAAGUAGCCGGAGGAAAAGAAAACAACAGUGAUUGCGAAAGUAGCGGCGAGCGAAAUCGUAAGAGCCCAAACCGUGGUGCGUGCACUGCGGGGUAGAGGACUGCAAUACGAGUAAGAUAUAUUACCUGAACCGUUUUGGAAAAGCGGGCCAAAGAGCGUGAGAGCCGUGUAAGGGAAAAUAUAUUGAAUCCAGCAGUAUCCGGAGUACCACGAGACACGAGAAACCUUGUGGGAAGCAGGGGGGACCACCCCCCAAGGCUAAAUACUAGUCAGUGACCGAUAGCGUAUAGUACUGUGAAGGAAAGGUGAAAAGAACCCCGGGAGGGGAGUGAAAAAGAACCUGAAACCCUAUGUUUACAAACUGUGGAACACCGAAAGGUGAACCGCGUACUUUUUGUAGAACGGUCCGGCGAGUUACAUGUACAGGCGAGGUUAAGUAUUAAAGAUACGGAGCCGAAGGGAAACCAAGUCUUAAUAGGGCGAUAUUAGUCAGUAUGUGUAGACCCGAAACCGGGUGAUCUAUCCAUGUCCAGGUUGAAGUUCGCGUAAAAGUGAAUGGAGGACCGAACGCACAUCCGUUGAAAAGGGUGGCGAUGAGGUGUGGAUAGGGGAGAAAUUCCAAUCGAACCCGGAGAUAGCUGGUUCUCCUCGAAAUAGUUUUAGGACUAGCCUCGUUAUUAGUCUACCGGAGGUAGAGCACUGAAUUUUUGCGGGGGCGUCAAAGCCUACCAAGAGAUAUCAAACUCCGAAUGCCGGCUAGAUGAUUGACGGGAGUCAGACUACACGAGAUAAGUUGGGUAGUCAAAAGGGAAAGAGCCCAGACCUACGGCUAAGGUCCCAAAGUGUGUGUUAAGUGGAAAAGGAUGUGGGAUUUCGAAGACAGCUAGGAUGUUGGCUUAGAAGCAGCCAUACAUUAAAAGAGUGCGUAACAGCUCACUAGUCGAGAGGUCCUGCGCCGAAAAUGUCCGGGGCUAAACACAACACCGAAGCCUGGGAAUGUAGUAAUACAUUGGUAGAGGAGCAUUCUUAGAGGCGUAGAAGCCAUACCGGAAGGAAUGGUGGAGUAAUAAGAAGAGAGAAUGCCGGAAUGAGUAGCGAGAAAGAGGUGAGAAUCCUCUUGGCCGAAUAUCUAAGGUUUCCUGAGUAAAGCUGAUCUACUCAGGGUAAGUCGGGGCCUAAGGCAAGGUCGAAAGACGUAGUCGAUGGAUAACAGGUACAGAUUCCUGUACUACAUAUAAUCAGAACUGUGGGGACACGGAGACUGAAACCGAACCCGGGAGGACAAAAACCGGGGCAAGCGAAGUACCUGUAUGGGAGGAAAAACCACCAUACAAGGGGAAAGCGUGAUGCGUACCGAAAUUUAGUAGGGAAGUCGGUUAGGGAGCCGUCAAGAAAAGCCGCUAUUGUGUUAUAUGUACCCGUACCGCAAACCGACACAGGUAGAUGAGGAGAGAAUCCUAAGGCCGGCGGGAGAAGCAUUGUUAAGGAACUCGGCAAAAUGACCCCGUAACUUCGGGAGAAGGGGUGCCACUAGCAAUAGUGGUCGCAGAAAAAAGGCUCAAGCAACUGUUUAGCAAAAACACAGGUCUAUGCGAAACCGCAAGGUGAAGUAUAUGGGCUGACGCCUGCCCGGUGCCGGAAGGUUAAGAGGAGAAGUCAGGAAACGAAGCUUUGAAUUGAAGCCCCGGUAAACGGCGGCCGUAACUAUAACGGUCCUAAGGUAGCGAAAUUCCUUGUCGGGU